CCUACGGGCGGCAGCAGUGGGGAAUAUUUGACAAUGGGCGAAAGCCUGAUCCAGCCAUGCCGCGUGUGUGAAGAAGGCCUUCGGGUUGUAAAGCACUUUCAGUGGGGAAGAAAGCCUUGGGGCUAAUACCCUCGAGGAAGGACAUCACCCACAGAAGAAGCACCGGCUAACUCCGUGCCAGCAGCCGCGGUAAUACGGAGGGUGCGAGCGUUAAUCGGAAUUACUGGGCGUAAAGCGCGCGUAGGCGGUCUGAUAAGCCGGUUGUGAAAGCCCCGGGCUCAACCUGGGAACGGCAUCCGGAACUGUCAGGCUAGAGUGCAGGAGAGGAAGGUAGAAUUCCCGGUGUAGCGGUGAAAUGCGUAGAGAUCGGGAGGAAUACCAGUGGCGAAGGCGGCCUUCUGGACUGACACUGACGCUGAGGUGCGAAAGCGUGGGUAGCAAACAGGAUUAGAUACCCCUGUAGUC
rnacentral:rRNA from 1 species